AAUGAAUCUUUGGUUUGCUUUACCCACAGCGUUAUCUAUGUGAUCUUCCCAGUUUAAGUUGAAUUUAUAGCCUUUAAAGUAGUGUGAUUUAUU